UACGGAGGGGACUAGCGUUGUUCGGAAUUACUGGGCGUAAAGCGCACGUAGGCGGAUUUGUUAGUCAGGGGUGAAAUCCCGAGGCUCAACCUCGGAACUGCCUUUGAUACUGCAAAUCUCGAGUCCGGAAGAGGUGAGUGGAAUUCCUAGUGUAGAGGUGAAAUUCGUAGAUAUUAGGAAGAACACCAGUGGCGAAGGCGGCUCACUGGUCCGGUACUGACGCUGAGACACGAAAGCGUGGGUAGCAAACAGG
rnacentral:rRNA from 1 species